rnacentral:rRNA from 1 species
CCUACGGGAGGCAGCAGUGGGGAAUCUUGCGCAAUGGGCGAAAGCCUGACGCAGCAACGCCGCGUGCGGGAAGAAGGCUCUCGGGUUGUAAACCGCUUUCAGAAGGAACGAAACUGACGGUACUUUCAGAAGAAGGUGCGGCCAACUACGUGCCAGCAGCCGCGGUGACACGUAGGCACCAAGCGUUGUCCGGAUUUAUUGGGCGUAAAGAGCUCGUAGGCGGUUCAGUAAGUCGGGUGUGAAAACUUUGGGCUUAACCCAAAGCCUGCAUCCGAUACUGCUGUGACUUGAGUACGGUAGGGGAGCGGGGAAUUUCUAGUGUAGCGGUGAAAUGCGCAGAUAUUAGAAGGAACACCGGUGGCGAAGGCGCCGCUCUGGGCCGUAACUGACGCUGAGGAGCGAAAGCGUGGGUAGCAAACAGGAUUAGAUACCCUGGUAGUCCACGCCGUAAACGUUGGGCACUAGGUGUGGGUCUCAACCAACGAGAUCCGCGCCGUCGCUAACGCAUUAAGUGCCCCGCCUGGGAGUACGGCCGCAAGGUUAAAACUCAAAUGAAUUGACGG